AACCUAGCACACCUGCGGUGUGUACCUGCGGAGGGAUCAUUACCGAGUUUACAACUCCCAAACCCAAUGUGAACCAUACCAAACUGUUGCCUCGGCGGGGUCACGCCCCGGGUGCGUCGCAGCCCCGGAACCAGGCGCCCGCCGGAGGGACCAACCAAACUCUUUACUGUAGUCCCCUCGCGGACGUUAUUUCUUACAGCUCUGAGCAAAAAUUCAAAAUGAAUCAAAACUUUUAACAAU
rnacentral:misc_RNA from 1 species